AACGAACGCUGGCGGCGGGCCUCAUACAUGCAAGUCGAGCGCGAAAGUCCGCAAGGAUGAGUAAAGCGGCGCACGGGUGAGUAACACGUGGAUAAUCUACCCUUUGGAUUGGAAUAACCUGUCGAAAGACGGGCUAAUGCCGAGUAAGCUUACGAGUUCGUGAAGUUCUUGUAAGGAAAGAUGGCGCAAGCUAUCGCCGAUGGAUGAGUCUGCGUCCCAUUAGUUAGUUGGUGGGGUAAUGGCUUACCAAGACUAUGAUGGGUACCUGGUCUGAGAGGAUGACCAGGCACACUGGAACUGAAACACGGUCCAGACUCCUACGGGAGGCAGCAGUAGGGAAUAUUGCGCAAUGGACGAAAGUCUGACGCAGCCACGCCGCGUGAGUGAGGAAGGCC
rnacentral:rRNA from 1 species